GAGGGUAUAGCUCAGUGGUAGAGUGCAUGCCUAGCAUGCAUGAGGUCCUGGGUUCAAUCUCCAUUACCUUUA
rnacentral:tRNA from 1 species